GAGAACUGUGGGGGUUGACAAAAGUUUGCAGAGCAAUUCAAAUUAAUGAAGCACAUGGAAAAAUGUUACCUUGUGGAAAAUUUCCAGGCAAAAAGAGUUUUUGAAUAAACUGUUCGAUGUUGGGAUUUCACUCGCCCUUAUUUUCAUCCGAGCUGUGAAUCAUCCGAUCAUCGGCUUGAAGGGAUGAGACAUGGUGCUAGGAAUGGAAUCUGUUUUAUGCAACUAUGCUAUGUGGAGAAAAAUGCUGAAGAUGCAGAAUGCCAGCUGCUAAACGCCGUUUCAGAAAGGGCAUGGGAGAAACCCAGGAGAAGGUUUUUCUUUCUAAAUAAAU
rnacentral:lncRNA from 1 species